CGCAAAUAUCUAAACGGAGAAAUUCAAUAUUGCCCUUAACAGGCAAUGUGCACUUUUUUCUUAGUAAGACGCUGUGAUCCAUUAGAAAUUGGACCAUUCCAAUGGUUAUUGGGCUAUCAAUAGGCCAACAUGAAGUUCAAUGGUGCAAAUGGUAUGAUCUUUUAUGGUUGCACGUAUUGCCCGUUGAGCAUGUUGGUACCUGUAAUAGCUGUCUGAUGGAUUUUAAAGGUCAUAUUACUAAUGCUAUAUGCAUUACCCAUUUCGAUGGGAGCUGAUAUGUGCCCGAUCAACAGCGGUUAAAUUUGUGAUACCUUUGGGACCCGUCUUGAAACACGGACCAAGGAGUCUAUCUAGUAUGCAAGUAAAUGAGCAUAUUAAACUUAUUUGCGUAAAAAACUUGACUUUUAUGGGAUUACGAGUUUACAUUUAACUGUGAGCUCCUCCAUCCCGGGGUAUUUUUGUCAACAUAUGCAGCAAUGUGUAUGGAAAAUAUACCAUGAGCAUACUGGAUGCGACCCGAAAGAUGGUGAACUAUGCCUGUUCAGGUUGAAGUCAGGGGAAACCCUGAUGGAGGACCGAAGCAAUUCUGACGUGCAAAUCG
rnacentral:rRNA from 1 species